AGUGUUGAAAGUAAUUAUGAUGUAAAACAUGAACUUAACCAAAAAGUAGUUGUUGUUUAAUGACUAAAUUGAGGUAUUGGGACAGUUACAAGGUGUUUGCCGUUUGUCAACAAAACAACAGCCAUGGGCUUGUUAUAAUUAAAAUGCGUGGUUGUCGACUUUUUUCUCUCAAUAUACGGUCAUAAUUUAGACAAGUUCGUGCUUGCGUCAAUUUCUUUAAUCCAGUCAUGUUUUUGUACCAAUUUGUUCUACGAUUCUUGCGCUUUGGAUAAUCAUUCAAAGUCCAAUUAUUCCUGACACAAAGUCAUUGUACAAAAUAAAGAAAAAAAACACGUGUUUUCGAUUCACUUGUGACUACCGCAAUUUGCGUUCAAGGACAAGGCAUUUUACUCGUAACUCAAAUAAUUCAUGCCCUUCUCGUUAUCAAUCUCUAUUCUCGGUAUAUGAUGUUGUCAUCAUAGAGCAGCAGAAUAUGUCGACUUAAUCAUUUUCGUUAGAAGUUACUCGAUUCAAUACAAAAACGAAAUUUGAAACAGGAAGUUUGAAUGAAACGAAUUAUCGAUGGUUCCCGGUAACAAACAUGAACAAAAUCCGGAAAUCGUAUUUUUGUUAAAUAAAAAAAAUCGGGGCGGGACGAUUUGAGAGGGGCGGGCGGGGAUGAAAAUCUAGCAAUUAAUUUAAUUGGCCUAAGCAAUAGGUCAACUAUAUUUGUUGUUUGGAAGCAUUGUAAGCUGUACAUGUCUAACNNNNNNNNNNNNNNNNNNNNNNNNNGAGUAAACCGCCGCGUUAACUUUUAAGGCCCGUUUACAUAUAAUGCUUGGUCUGCACCCAACUGUAUUAGAAGUUUUUUUUUUAUAAAAUUUAAAAGAAUGGCAGAGAAAUCGUACGGAAAUUUUAUUUGCAUUGUUAAAAAUAACCAAAAAUUCUUCUAUCUUUUUAUUAAAAAUUGAAUACUUUUUAUUUGAAAUCAGUUAUUUUUACCAUCUUGAGGCAAGUCUGCUAAUCAGAAUUCAGAUAUAAUGAGAAUUAAAAUACUUAAAUUUUAUUUUUGUGAAUAAGAAUGAGUAUUGAUUAUUUUGAUACAAAUUAUUAACCGUCAUAUGAUUUCAGUACUUUUUGUACAUCAGGAUGGCUGUUCUUCAUAAAAAUCAUGCUUACUUUUAGGAAAAGAUAUAAAAUUUUUGUACGCGUUUCCUUAAUGCAAAUAUUGUUUCAUUUUUACUUGAAAUUAUUGACCGCCAUUGGAUUUUGUACUUUUAUAGUUGAGAAUAGUUUUUUUCAUAAAUUUUAAAUUAUAUCAGAAAAAUCAUACUAAAAUUUUGUUCGCAUGUUUAAAAUAAUCAAAAUUAUUCUUCUUUUUAUCAAAAAUGAUACUAUUUUAUUUGAAAUCAGUUUUUUUUACCCAUCUUGAGACAAGUUCUUAAUCAGAAUUCAGAUAUAAUGAGAAAUUAAAAUACUUAAACUUUUAUUUUUGUGGAAUAAGAACAGUUAUUGAUUUAUUUGAUACAAAUUAUUAACGUCAUAUGAUUUCAGUACUUUUUGAACAUCAGGAUUGGCUGUUCUUCAUAAAAUAUGCUUACUUUUAGAAAAAGAUAUAAAAUUUUUGUACGCGUUCCUAAAAUGCAAAUAUUUCUUCAUUUAACUGAAAAUUAUUGACCGCCAUUGGAUUUUUGUACUUUUUAUAGUUUAAGAAUAGUUUUUUUUCAUAAAUUAAAGAAUAUCAGAAAAAUCAUACUAAAAUUUUGUUCGCAUUGUUUAAAAUAAUCAAAAUUAUUCUUCUUUUUAUCAAAAAUGAUACUAUUUUAUUUGAAAUCAGUUAUUUUUACCUUUUUGAGACAAGUCUUCUAAUCAGAAUUCAGAUAUAAUGAGAAUUAAAAUACUUAAACUUUUAUUUUUGUGGAAUAAGAAUGUAGUUAUUGAUUUAUUUUGAUGCAUAUUAUUAACUGUCAUAUGAUUUCAGUACUUUUUGUACAUAAUGAUGGCUGUUCUUUCAUUUAAAAUAAUCUAUACUUAGCCCACUAAAAUUAAUUAGUAGAUUUUCAUCCAAUUUUUGUUUUUAAAAUGGGCGGGUGGGAGGAUUUUAUUUUUUAAAUUUUAUUUCAUAUGAAACCCUCGUCACGAGUCUCUUCAUACACGCGGGUAUAUACUAGUGGAAAACAAGCUUGUAUAAUGUAUAUAUAAUGAUGUAAAAGAAAUCUCACUAUUUUUUGAACUCUUAAAAAAAUCCCUGAUUGGCAACACUGUUAUACAUGUAAUUGCCGCUUUAGAAACCUAUUUAUAGUAUACAUCAAAAAAGAAGAUAAAUGCUCUCUUCAGUUGGACUAUACCUACACCAAUAUUUUGCUUUCUAAGCAAUGGUUUGUAGUACCAUAAAAUCAAUAAAUGUAUACGUUUUUGAAUGCGCUGUUAUUUGAUAUUUGCCAUGUGAUUAUGGACUUUCCAAUUAAUUUCCUCUAAGUUCAGUAUUUUUGUGAUUACUUUUUGGUACAAUGUAUGCAACACAAGUAUUAUGAGUACAGAAUAAAAUGUAAACGCAGUGUUGAAAGUAAUUAUGAUGAAAACAUGAACUAACCAAAAAGUAUUGUUGUUUAAUGACUAAAUUGAGGUAUUGGGACAGUUACAAGGGUGUUUUGCCGUUUGUCAACAAAACAACAGCCAUGGCUUGUUAAUAAUUAAAAUGCCGGUUUGUCGACUUUUUUCUCUCAAUAUACGGUCAUAAUUUAAACAAGUUCGUGCUUGCGUCAAUUUCUUUUAAUCCAGUCAUGUUUUUGUACCAAUUUGUUCUACGAUUCUUGCGCUUUGGAUAAUCAUUCAAAGUCCAAAUUUCCUGACACAAAUUCAUUGUACAAAUAAAAAAAAACACGGUUUUCGAUUCACUUGUGACUACCGCAAUUUGCGUUCAAGGACAAGGCCAUUUUACUCGUUAACUCAAAUAUUCAUGCCCUUCUCGUUAUCAAUCUCUAUUCUCGGUAUAUGAUGUUGUCAUCAUAGAGCAGCAGAAUAUGUCGACUUAAUCAUUUUCGUUAGAAGUUACUCGAUUCAAUGCAAAAACGAAAUUUGAAACAGGAAGUUUUGAAUGAAACGAAAAUUAUCGAUGGUUCCCGUAACAGACAUGACAAAAUCCGGAAAUCGUAUUUUUGUUAAAUAAAAAAAUCGGGGCGGACGAUUUGAGAGGGGCGGCGGGGAUGAAAAUCUAGCAAUUAAUUUAAUAUGCCGUUAAGGAAAAAAUAUUAAUUUUUGCACCCGUUGCCCAAAAAUGCAAAUAUUUCGUCAUUUUACUGAAAAUUAUUGACCGCCAUUGGAUUUUGUACUUAUUAUUAGUUGAGAAUAGUUUUUUUUCAUAAAUUUAAAUGAUAAUCAGAAAAUCAUAUUAAAAUUUAGUUCGCAUUGUUAAAAUAUAAAAAAAGAUAUAAAAUUUUUGUACGCGUUUCCUAAAAUGCAAAUAUUGUUUCAUUUUACUGAAAAUUAUUGACCGCCAUUGGAUUUUUAUACUUUUUAUAGUUAAGAAUAGUUUUUUUUUCAUAAAAUUAAAAUAAUAUCAGAAAAAUCAUACUAAAAUUUUGUUUGCAUUGUUUAAAAUAAUCAAAAUUAUUCUUCUUUUUAUUAAAAAUGAUACUAUUUUAUUUGAAAUCAGUUAUUUUUACCAUCUUGAGACAAGUCUUCUAGUCAGAAUUCAGAUAUAGUGAGAAUUAAAAUACUUAAACUUUUAUUUUUGUGGAAUAAGAAUGUAGUUAUCUGAUUUAUUUUGUAAUAUAAAUUAUAACCGUCAAUGAUUCAGUACUUUUUGUACAUCAGGAGUCUGGUGCUUCAUAAAAUGCUUACUUUUAGGAAAAAUACUUAAUUUUUGUACGCGUUCCUAAAAUGCAAAUAUUGUUUAUUUACUGAAAAUUAUUUGACGCAUUGGAUUUUUGUACUUUUUAUUUUAAGAAUAGUUUUUUUUUCAUAAAUGAAAAGAAUAUCAGAAAAAUCAUACUUUUAAAAAAAUUUUUUUGUUUGCAUUGUUUAAAAUAAUCAAAAUUAUUCUUCUUUUAUCAAAAUGAUACUAUUUUAUUUGAAAUCAGUUAUUUUUACCAUCUUGAGACAAGUCUUCUAAUUAGAAUUGAGAUACAAUGAGAAUUAAAAUACUUAAACUUUUAUUUUUGUGGAAUGAGAAUGUUAGUUAUUGAAUUUAUUGAUGGCAUAUUAUAAGCUGUCAUAAGGAUUUCAGUACUUUUUGUACAGAUAGAUUGGCUGUUCUUCAUAAAAUAAUCUUACUAGGCCAACUAAAGUUAAUUAGUAGAUUUCAUCCAAUUUUUGAAAAACAUGGGGCGGGUGGGAGGAUUUUAUUUUUUAAAUUUUAUUUCAUAUGAAACCCUUGUCACAAGUUCUUCAUACCGCGGGGUAUAUGCUAGUGGAAAACAAGCUUGUAUAAUGUAUAUAUACAUGUUGUAUAAGGAAUCUGACACUAUUUUUUAAACUCUUAAAUAAAAAUCCCUGAUUGGCAACCACUGUUAUACAUGUAAUUGCCGCUUUAGAAACCUAUUUAUAGUAUACAUCAAAGGGAAGAGAGAAAUGCUCUCUUCAGUUGGACUAGACCUACACCAAAUUUAUUUUGCUUUCUAAGCAAUGGUUUGUAGUCCACAUAAAAUCAUAAAAUAAAAUGUAAUGUAUUGGUACAAUUGUAUGCAACACAAGUAUUAUGAGUACAAAAUAAAAUGUAAACUCAGUGUGGAAAGUAAUUAUGUGAUGUAAAACAUGAACUUAACCAAAAAGUAGUUUUUUUAAUGACUAAAUUGAGGGUAUUGGGACAGUUACAGAGGGUGUUUGCUGUUUGUCAACAAAAACAACAGCUAUAUAUAAGGGAAUUAAAAUGCGUGUUUGUCGACUUUUUUUUCUCAAUAUACGGUCAUAAAUCAAACAAAUUCGUGCUUGUGUCAAUUUCUUUAAUCCAGUCAUGUUUUUUGUACCAAUUUGUUCUACGAUUCUUGCGCUUUGGAUAUCAUUUACAGUCCAAAUUUCCUGACACAAAGUCAUCGUAUAAAUAAAGAAAAAACACGGUUUUCGAUUCACUUGUGACUACCGCAAUUUGCGUUAAAUGACAAGGCGUUUUACUCGUUACUCGAAUAUUUCAUGCCCUUCUCGUUAUCAAUCUCUAUUCUCGGUAGAUGUUGUCAUAAUAGAGCAGCAGAAUAUGUCGACUCAAUCAUAUCGUUAUUAGAUUACUCGGAGAAAUACAAAAACGAAAUUUGAAACAGGAAGUGUUGAAUGAAACGAAAUUAUCGAUGGUUCCGGUAA
rnacentral:lncRNA from 1 species